rnacentral:rRNA from 1 species
UACGUAGGGUGCGAGCGUUGUCCGGAAUUAUUGGGCGUAAAGAGCUCGUAGGCGGUCUGUCGCGUCGAUCGUGAAAACUUGGGGCUUAACCCUGAGCUUGCGGUCGAUACGGGCAUGACUGGAGUUCGGCAGGGGAGACUGGAAUUCCUGGUGUAGCGGUGAAAUGCGCAGAUAUCAGGAGGAACACCGGUGGCGAAGGCAGCCCCCUGGGCUGACACUGACGCUCAGGCACGAAAGCGUGGGGAGCAAACAGG